UACGUAGGGUGCGAGCGUUAAUCGGAAUUACUGGGCGUAAAGCGUGCGCAGGCGGUUAUGUAAGACAGUUGUGAAAUCCCCGGGCUCAACCUGGGAAUUGCAUCUGUGACUGCAUAGCUAGAGUACGGUAGAGGGGGAUGGAAUUCCGCGUGUAGCAGUGAAAUGCGUAGAUAUGCGGAGGAACACCGAUGGCGAAGGCAAUCCCCUGGACCUGUGACUGACGCUCAUGCACGA
rnacentral:rRNA from 1 species